rnacentral:rRNA from 1 species
AUUGAACGCUGGCGGCAGGCCUAACACAUGCAAGUCGAACGAGUGGCGGACGGGUGAGUAAUGUCUGGGAAACUGCCUGAUGGAGGGGGAUAACUACUGGAAACGGUAGCUAAUACCGCAUACCAUCAGAUGUGCCCAGCUGGGAUUGGCUAGUUGGUGGGGUAACGGGUCACCAAGGCGACGAUCCCUAGCUGGUCUUAGAGGAUGACCAGCCAAACUGGAACUGCGGCACGGUCCAGACUCCUACGAGAGGCAGCAGUGGGGAAUAUUGCACAAUGGACGCAAGCCUGAUUCAGCCAUGCCGGGGGUAUGAAGAAGGCCUUCGGGUUGUAAAGUACUUUCAGCGGGGAGGCGUUACCCGCAGAAGAAGCACCGGCUAACUCCGUGCCAGCAGCCGCGGUAAUUC